rnacentral:rRNA from 1 species
GGCGGACGGGUGAGUAAUGUCUGGGAAACUGCCCGAUGGAGGGGGAUAACUACUGGAAACGGUAGCUAAUACCGCAUAACGUCGCAAGACCAAAGAGGGGGACCUUCGGGCCUCUUGCCAUCGGAUGUGCCCAGAUGGGAUUGGCUAGUAGGUGGGGUAACGGCUCACCUAGGCGACGAUCCCUAGCUGGUCUGAGAGGAUGACCAGCCACACUGGAACUGAGACGCGGUCCAG